GGGUCGAUGAUGAGAACCUUAUAUUGUCUGAAGAGAAAUUGAUGACAUAAAAAUCAUGCUCAAUAGAAGUUACGCUGAGGCCC